rnacentral:rRNA from 1 species
AAAAAUUAAUUAAUUAAUUUUACUUACAAAUCCACCUUUAAUUUAAUUACAAAAGAAAAUAUCCAUUUAAAUAAAUUUAUUGUAACCCAUUUCUACUUAUACAUAAGCUUCACCUUGACCUGACAUUCAUGCAUUGAACAAUUAAGAAAAUUUUUUUACUAAAAUAAUAUUCUUAUGACGGAGAUAUAAAAACUGAAAACAAAUAUAAGUAAGUUAAAUCGUGGACUAUCGAUUAAAGAACAGGUUCCUCUGAAAAGACUAAAAUACCGCCAAAUUCUUUGGGUUUCAAGAAUUUAACUAAUACUACCCAAGUAAAAAAAAUUAACAUUUAGU